rnacentral:rRNA from 1 species
AGUCACUGACAUUAGAUACCCGUGUAGUCCCAGCCGUAAACUAUGCGCGUUAGGUGUAUCGGUGACCACGAGUCACCGAGGUGCCGAAGGGAAACCGUGAAACGUGCCGCCUGGGAAGUACGGUCGCAAGGCUAGAAACUUAAAGGAAUUGGCGGGGGAGCACCACAACGGGUGGAGCCUGCGGUUUAAUUGGAUUCAACACCGUAAAACUCACCAGGGAAGACUGUUACAUGAAGGCCGAGAUGAAGACUCUGCUAGAUUUUCAG